rnacentral:rRNA from 1 species
CCUACGGGAGGCAGCAGUGGGGAAUAUUGCACAAUGGGGGAAACCCUGAUGCAGCGACGCCGCGUGAGUGAAGAAGUAUUUCGGUACGUAAAGCUCUAUCAGCAGGGAAGAAAAUGACGGUACCUGACUAAGAAGCCCCGGCUAACUACGUGCCAGCAGCCGCGGUAAUACGUAGGGGGCAAGCGUUAUCCGGAUUUACUGGGUGUAAAGGGAGCGUAGACGGCAGCGCAAGUCUGGAGUGAAAUCCCAUGGCUUAACCAUGGAACUGCUUUGGAAACUGUGCAGCUAGAGUGCAGGAGAGGUAGGCGGAAUUCGUGGUGUAGCGGUGAAAUGCGUAGAUAUUAGGAGGAACACCAGUGGCGAAGGCGGCUUACUGGACUGUAACUGACGUUGAGGCUCGAAAGCGUGGGGAGCAAACAGGAUGAGAUACCCGAGUAGUC